rnacentral:lncRNA from 1 species
GUCCAAAUGCUUCCUGAACUCUGGCAGCUUGGUGCCAUGACUACUGUCCUGGGCAGCCUUUCCCAGUGCAUAACCACUCUCCGGUGAGGAAGCUUUUCCUAACAGCCAACCUGACUCUCCCCUGACACAGCUCCAUGCUGUUCCCUCAGGUUCUGUCCCUGUCAUCAGAGAGAUCAGGAAUAUAACCACCUUCCUUGUGAUGCCAAUAUCAAUUACACCAUAGUGUGAAAGAGAUCCAGAGGAAGUGGAAUGUAUGAAGUGGCUUCCAAUCUAGCUUUUUUUUUUUUUGUCCCACAGAACUCUCUCCCUCUUUCAAACUCUUCCCUCUACACUGAGCCACAAAAUGGUUGCCAGAUUGGCCUCUUUCCUGCUGCUGCCCUCUAUUUUUCUUCCCUUGUAGGGGUACUGAGACGGUCAGAAGUUCUUCUGUAUCUCACUGUGGCCUUUGUGGUUUUUAUCAAGUCCUGGGAACUGGGCUGACAGACAAGGAGGAUGAGGAAGAGGAGUCUGAUACUCUUGGUGUUGCAGAUGAAACACUUGGAGGGAGGUUGGAGGCCGCAUUUAGAUGUUAUUUCCUCUUGGCCUCAAGUGCCUGCCUGCUUCUCCACAAGAGAAGAUGCUGUCGGAGACUGGACAGCAGAUUUCCUUGGGGAAAGCUCCAAUCAGAGAAGAAUAAAAACACGUUGUUCCUGUCCUGACAAUUACUUCAGAGUCCAACCAGUCCGGUAG